rnacentral:rRNA from 1 species
UGAGGAAUAUUGGUCAAUGGGCGGAAGCCUGAACCAGCCAAGUAGCGUGAGGGAUGACUGCCCUAUGGGUUGUAAACCUCUUUUAUAAGGGAAUAAAAUACGGGACGUGUCCUGUUUUGCAUGUACCUUAUGAAUAAGGACCGGCUAAUUCCGUGCCAGCAGCCGCGGUAAUACGGAAGGUCCGGGCGUUAUCCGGAUUUAUUGGGUUUAAAGGGAGCGCAGGCCGUAUGGUAAGCGUGUUGUGAAAUGCCGUGGCUCAACCAUGGCACUGCAGCGCGAACUGCCGUACUUGAGUACGCUGGAGGUAGGCGGAAUUCGUGGUGUAGCGGUGAAAUGCUUAGAUAUCACGAAGAACCCCGAUUGCGAAGGCAGCCUACCGUAGCGGCACUGACGCUGAGGCUCGAAAGCGUGGGUAUCGAACAGGAUUAGAUACCCUGGUAGU